rnacentral:rRNA from 1 species
AGCGAACGCUGGCGGCAGGCCUAACACAUGCAAGUCGAACGAACCUUUCGGGGUUAGUGGCGGGCGGGUGAGUAACACGUGGGAACGUGCCUUUAGGUUCGGAAUAACUCAGGGAAACUUGUGCUAAUACCGAAUGUGCCCUUCGGGGGAAAGAUUAAUCGCCUUUAGAGCGGCCCGCGUCUGAUUAGCUAGUUGGUUGAGGUAAUGGCUCACCAAGGCGACGAUCAGUAGCUGGUCUGAGAGGAUGAUCAGCCACAUUGGGACUGAGACACGGCCCAAACUCCUACGGGAGGCAGCAGUGGGGAAUCUUGCGCAAUGGGCGAAAGCCUGACGCAGCCAUGCCGCGUGAAUGAUGAAGGUCUUAGGAUUGUAAAAUUCUUUCACCGGGGACGAUAAUGACGGUACCCGGAGAAGAAGCCCCGGCUAACUUCGUG